rnacentral:misc_RNA from 1 species
CAGAGUUGCAAAACUCCCAAACCAUCGUGAACGUUACCUAUAUCGUUGCUUCGGCGGGUGGCGGGCUUCGGCCCUGCCCUCGGCCCCUCGGGGGCCCGCCGGAGGUCUACCAAACCCUUGAAUUUUAUGGCCUCUCUGAGUCUUCUGUACUGAAUAAGUCA